rnacentral:rRNA from 1 species
AGAGUUUGAUCCUGGCUCAGGAUGAACGCUGGCGGCGUGCUUAACACAUGCAAGUCGAACGAAGUAUUUUAAAUGAGACUUUCGGGUGGAUUUUAAAAUGACUGAGUGGCGGACGGGUGAGUAACGCGUGGGCAACCUGCCUUACACAGGGGGACAACAGUUAGAAAUGACUGCUAAUACCGCAUAAGCGCACGGGAACGCAUGUUUCUGUGUGAAAAACUCCGGUGGUGUAAGAUGGGCCCGCGUUGGAUUAGGUAGUUGGUGAGGUAACGGCUCACCAAGCCGACGAUCCAUAGCCGACCUGAGAGGGUGACCGGCCACAUUGGGACUGAGACACGGCCCAAACUCCUACGGGAGGCAGCAGUGGGGAAUAUUGCACAAUGGGCGCAAGCCUGAUGCAGCGACGCCGCGUGAGCGAAGAAGUAUUUCGGUAUGUAAAGCUCUAUCAGCAGGGAAGAAAAUGACGGUACCUGACUAAGAAGCUCCGGCUAAAUACGUG